UACGUAGGGGGCUAGCGUUGUCCGGAAUUACUGGGUGUAAAGCGCGUGUAGGUGGUGGGCCAAGUCUGUGGUGAAAUCGCCCGGCUCAACUGGGCGAGGUCCGUGGAAACUGGUCGACUGGAGGACGGUAGAGGCGAGUGGAAUUCCCGGUGUAGUGGUGAAAUGCGUAGAGAUCGGGAGGAACACCAGUGGCGAAGGCGGCUCGCUGGGCCGGUCCUGACACUGAGACGCGAAGGCGUGGGGAGCGAACGGG
rnacentral:rRNA from 1 species